rnacentral:lncRNA from 1 species
CAAACCUGCACAGAUUGUUUAUAAUGCAAAAUGUUAGGUAUCCUAAAUACAGUGGAAAGGACCUGAAUGAUCAUGCCUCACACUGCUUUUUAUGCUUGUUUCUUAACCAACGUUUAUGUACUUCAAGCAAAAGUGGCCUCCUCCGCCUGCUUCACCCAACAGUAAUGAGUUUGGUUUAUCAGAUUCUGGGGAUCCCACUUGCCCCGCACACCAUAAAAAACAUCUAAUUUGGUGGUCCUGAUGAAACGUGCUUUCUGUUUCAUGUUCCCCAGCGAGAUAAGGCGGCUAUCGGGGCAGGAAGCCUUCUUGGAAAUCACCGUGGGCUUGGCACUGCCGUGCAUCGAGGUAGCCAUGGAAACCUGCUCUCAAAGCCGGCGCCGGCUGAUAAGAGCCUCGAGUGCCACCGGCUGUGUCCGGCCGGGAGAAGGUGAGCAGGAAAGCAAUACCUGCUCAACAUACUUCCACCAGUGAGUCUGUACAACUGUAACACUAGUCUUACCCUGCAGAAGUCUGCCCAGAUCUGGUCCACACCAACCAACGUGUUGCUGCAGUGGCUCCUCUGAAAUUCUCUGUUCUGGAAGGAGACCAUACAUAAAAGCAGCUUUCCUACAGUGGGGAAGGAGAUUUGCAUUCAACAAGUGGUUUAUUUUGUCGUGAUUUUCCUGCAAAGACAAAUUUUAACCUUGUAGGUAGUUCCCAGGUGGCUCCUCGGGGUGUGAUUGCAAGAAAUGUUGGGGAAGGAUGGCAGUGUUUGUGUUAUACUUCCACUGGUGGGCCCACCUUGCCCUGAGUAGCCACUGCUGCAGGAUCAAGGCAAGAAAGGGUUUGAUUCAUCUCAGAGAUACAUUUCUAGCUUGCAUGAGCAUCCAAGUUACAAGUAAAGACCUGUGGAGGUCAGGUGCACAAAGCUAGUAUAGUUUUUGUGCAAAUAUUAGGCAAAUGGGAGCACAGCCACAGAAGUUUUACACCUAUAAAUUUCAAGCCUGGGUCAUUUAUCCAUGUUAAAAAGAAAAAAAGGUUGUGUGGUAAAGUUCUCAUUUUGGUUAUGAAAUUCUCCCAGUGACAUAAAUCUUGUUCCUGCCAGGGCAGAAUUAUCCCUCGUGUCAGUGGGGUUCCUGCCCUCCUGGGGGAAGAGAGAGGUGACAGCAGAGAGCCUCCAUGCAGCCAUCAAGCAGAGACUUCCUGUAAUGCCUUUGUUAAUAGUGUGUUUCUGGGAGCGGGUCCAGGCCCGUUUAAAAGCGUAAAUACUGUUUUACUGUUAUUCCUUGGGUUGAGUUUUGAUCCACGAGGCUUUAUCUUUGGACACAGCCAUUUCCCAGAGCUGUGUCCCUGUCCUCAUGAUGAAGGGCUCUGCAGUACAUCCUUUGGUUCUCUAAAACACGGCACGCUUUGCAGACCUAAAACAUUUCCUGGCUGAUUGAUGGCAACUCAUUUAAUGCAACGUGUAGGUCUAAAACUAUGAAUAUAUUGA